AUCCUUUUGUGGUUCAUAAGCGUGAUGAUUGGGUUUUCAUGCUCAUGUGUGAGAUGUGCCUCUCUCAAGCCUUGUUACGAAUCACAUUACCUGUCUGAUG
ensembl:snoRNA